rnacentral:tRNA from 1 species
GUCUGGAUAGCUCGGUGGUAGAGCUCCUUACUAGAGUUACAGAGGUCCCGAGUUCGUCUCCCGGUCCAGCCA